CUGAGGGUUUUUCUUGGCUGCGUGCCUUUCAUCUUCUCUGUUCUAAUAUUGUGAUUUCUCUGAAAAUACUUAGUGUGAUUUUUGGGAGAAUUGGUAGAGAAACUCUUGUGUGAGUUCUGCUGUGGGAAGAUUGUGUUGUAUUUGUGAUUUAGGAACUCAGUGUUCUGUAACUUGAUCUUUGCCUAUUUUGGCCAAUUUUAGUGGAUUCGAGUUUAAUCCUUUAUGGAUGCUUAACGGGGGACUAAACAUUAGAAGCGGUCGCUGAAGCUACAGGGCCUUUAGCCGAAAAAUCUCCCGUGUCCUUAUUUUCUGUUUUUGUUCUGAGAAAAUCUUGAUAAAUUUGCGUUGAAUAUUUUUGGCAUAAAUUCGAUCUUGGAGCUACACACGUUCAUGCCAAAUCGGUAUGACACAAAUCAUUAGCACCAUAGUCCUCAAACCAACGGUCAGGUCAAGCAAACUCUCAGUGUAAAGUAUAUGAAGAGAGUGUGGGAGAAAUAGGAAAACAUAGAUUUAGCCAGAGUUUUGAUGACGAUAAGAAAUCGUACAUUUACCAUUAUGCAUGCACCUGUAUUUAUGGGAGAAGGAUUCUAGUGUGGCAAGACACUAUCUGAUCGGAAAACAUUUUCAUUUCAUUAUACAUAAUAAAUUCCACAAAAAAUUAUAUUAUUUUUCAAUUUUUGUAUCGUACAGCUAGUUGAGAGUGGGGCAAAGAAGAAAGAUGAGGGUUGGGCCAAGUUGAAUCGUAGUUGUAAUAGACUGCAGGUGGGCUAAUUGGGCUUUGAUAGAUCAAGCUAAAUGAGCCCAAAUUCAAAAAAACGGCCCAUUCUGAAGUAAUAUUAGUGCUUAUUUUAUAAAGUUU
rnacentral:lncRNA from 1 species